rnacentral:rRNA from 1 species
GACGAACGCUGGCGGCGUGCCUAAUACAUGCAAGUCGAGCGGACAGAUGGGAGCUUGCUCCCUGAAGUCAGCGGCGGACGGGUGAGUAACACGUUGGCAACCUGCCUGUAAUACUGGGAUAACUUCGGGAAACCGGAGCUAAUACCGGAUACGUUCUUUUCUCGCAUGAGAGAAGAUAGAAAGAUGGUUUCGGCUAUCACUUACAGAUGGGCACGCGGCGCAUUAGCUAGUUGGUGAGGUAAUGGCUCACCAAGGCGACGAUGCGUAGCCGACCUGAGAGGGUGAUCGGCCACACUGGGACUGAGACACGGCCCAGACUCCUACGGGAGGCAGCAGUAGGGAAUCUUCCGAAAUGGACGAAAGUCUGACGGAGCAACGCCGCGUGAACGAUGAAGGCCUUCGGGUCGUAAAGUUCUGUUGUUAGGGAAGAACAAGUGCCAGAGUAACUGCUGGUACCUUGACGGUACCUAACCAGAAAGCCACGGCUAACUACGUGCCAGCCGCCGCAGUAAGAC